AACAGUUCAAUUGUAAGCUUGAAAUGGUUAGCAGAACUAGAAAGAUAAUGAGAUUUUAGAGUAGAUAUAAGCUAGAUAUUGUGAUUGUUAGUUGUCAUUAACCAAGACCUUCCUCAAUUGAUAUUUGGAGAAAUUACAGAAAUAGGUGACUGGCAUUGAAGUAUUUGCUCUAGAAAACAACUGCAUCAACUGAGUCCAAAAUGAAGACACAGAAACUGACAGCUACUUUAUUUACCAUGGUGUUUUUAUGCUGGAAUAUCCAUGGAGUUCUGACCACAACUGCAGCUCCUACGACAACUGCAGCUCCUACGACAACUGCAGCUCCUACGACAACUGCAGCUCCUACG